rnacentral:rRNA from 1 species
CACGUAGGGCGCAAGCGUUGUCCGGAAUUAUUGGGCCUAAAGCAUCCGUAGCCGGUCAUGCAAGUCUUCCGUUAAAUCCAGCCGCUCAACGGUUGGGCUGCGGAGGAUACUACGUGGCUAGGAGGCGGGAGAGGCAAGCGGUACUCAGUGGGUAGGGGUAAAAUCCUUUGAUCCAUUGAAGACCACCAGUGGCGAAGGCGGCUUGCCAGAACGCGCUCGACGGUGAGGGAUGAAAGCUGGGGGAGCAAACCGG